rnacentral:misc_RNA from 1 species
AUUGAGGGAUAUCUAAAUAUAGGAUUUUAAGGUUCAUAGAUUAGACCUGUAUGUAAACAACUGUCAUACGAUAAGUAUAUGAUAUCAUUACGGUGCAUGCACGUAUGGAGGCGUCCUCUGAAGUAAACUCUGACUUGGCCAGAGAGAGAAGCAGGGCCACUUUUGACAAGGAAAACCUGAUCAACUUUCUUUAUGGAGGACCCGCGGCUGUUCGGAAGAAACGGUAUCUUGAAAACAUCAUCAAACAAGACCCAGUUCUACAGAGAGGGCGACGAUGGGCAUUCCAGUCCCGAGAGGAACGCGCCGACACAGGUGUGUGGAAACACCUGUAUGUGGACAAACUACAGGCGGAUCUAGGAGUGACUGAUGUCAAGGAGCGGGAGUACCUCCGAGAUGCGGCAGCUGCACACGAAGGAUAUGUACUGGGUCUCCACUUCGGUAUGAUCAUUCCAACAAUCAAAAACCAAGCCUCCGAAGAACAGCAGAAGAAAUGGUUACCGAUGGCAGAGAGCAUGCGCAUGAUUGCCACGUAUGCUCAAACAGAGUUGGGACAUGGUUGGUGUUCAUAAUUUUUUAGCGUUCUGAAGAAAAGAUAAAUAUAAAAAUGUAUAUUAACGAAUGUACUUUCAGGAACGUUUAUACGAGGUUUGGAGACCACCGCUACUUAUGACCCGAAAACGGAAGAAUUCAUCUUGAAUACCCCAACAUUGUCAGCCAUUAAGUACUGGCCUGGUGGAUUGGGUAAAACCGUUAACCAUUGUGUGCUAAUGGCCCAGCUGUUUACUGAGGGGGUCAGUCGUGGAAUCCAUAUGUUCAUGGUUCAAGUCAGAGACUUGGAUUCCCACCUACCUUUACCAGGUAUAGAAAUAGGAGAUAUAGGACCCAAGUUUGGAUUUGAAGAAAUGGACAAUGGCUACUUAAAAAUUGACAACGUUCGCAUUCCUAGAGAGAAUAUGCUCAUGAAAUACUCAAAGGUCUUAAAAGACGGAACUUACCAACAACCUCCCAGUGAUAAGCUAGCGUACGGUUCAAUGGUGCUCUUGCGGUGCAGUAUUACUGCUAGUGUGGCCAAAUGCCUUGCUGAGGCAUGUGUGAUAUCCAUCCGGUACAGCGCCGUGCGGCGGCAAACAGAGAUUAGCCCAGGAGGUGAAGAGGCCCAGAUCCUUGACUAUCAAACUCAACAAUACCAUCUCUUUCCCCUGCUGGCAACCUCCUUUGCAAUGCAAUUUGCGGGCAACUUCAUAGACGACUUCUACAGGGAGAAAUAUCCGGACAUUGCAAAGGGGCGAUUUGAUUUUUUGCCGCAACUUCACGCAAUGAGCGCUGGUCUGAAGGCGUUUAGUGCUUGGACGUGUUCGGCCGGCGUGGAGACCUGUCGUCAGUGUUGUGGGGGACACGGAUACUCCCACGCUAGUGGACUACCCAAAAUCUACGUAGACUGCACCCCUGCCUGUACAUACGAGGGGGAAAACAUGGUUCUCAUGCUUCAAGUAGCCAGGUUCCUUAUGAAGGAGUAUAGCAAACUGAUGAACGGUCAACCGUUGUCGAGUGUCGUACAGUUUCUGAAGUGCGACUUAACAAUGAAAUCUUGCAUGGCAGAGGAGGUGGCUUUAAAAUGUCUUGUUUUGGCGUAUCAACACAGGGUUACAAGAUUAGUGGCAGAUGCUGCAAACUGCAUUCAAGACAUAAUAGGUGAAGGCAAAAGUCAACAAGAGGCCUGGAAUUCUUGUACUGUUCGGCUAUUUUGGGCUGCUAGAGCCUUUUGCCACGCAUUUGUUGUUGAGAACUUUGUGAACACCGUUUCUGAGAAACAUUUAGAUGAGAAAACUAGAGAGGUUUUGACUUCAUUGUGUCGGCUCUAUGGAGUCCAUGGCAUCAUCACAAACCUUGGGGAAUUUAUACAGGAUGAUUUUUUCAAUUCCGAGCAAAUUCAAAUCUUGAGCCACACACUAACAGUAUUGUUGAGGGAGAUCAGGCCCAAUGCUGUGGCCUUGGUGGAUGCCUACGAUUUCCCUGACACAGUGUUACAGAGCUGUUUGGGGCGCUUUGAUGGUCAAGUUUACCAAGCUUUGUAUGACUACGCCAAAAGCUCGCCAUUAAACGAAAAAGAGGUGCUGGACUCCUACUACAAAUACAUCAAGCCAGCUCAAAUGCCAAACAAAGAGCUUUUCUCGCGACUGUAGUAACCAGUGACUUAUAUAAUUAAUGGUUUUGAUGAUUCUUGAGAUCCAUUAUUUAUUUUCAUUGUGAGAGAAAUGUUCUUGUUGACCUAAACAAAACACUCCCACAGUCUGAUGAUAUGCAUAUCGAAGCAUAUUGUGCAUGAUUCUGCUACUUAAUGAAAUAUUUGUUGUUAUAUAUUUAUACGGUAUAUAUAUUGUAUAUCCUGAUUUUGAAAUAAAAAAAAUACUAUAGAAUAACUCAUUAGA